AGCUUUGUGCAGUAGCAGUGUUGUCCCUGAUGAGGUUUAUCUGAGGUGUGAUCAUUGCUAAUUGAAAACCUUUGCCAACAACCUGCCAUGGCAACUCAAAAUACAGUCGGCACUGGCAAUUUUUGACAGUCUCUACGGAGA